UUUUUUUUUUUAAUUUUUUAUUGGUGUUCAAUUUACUAACAUACAGAAUAACCCCCAGUGCCCGUCACCCAUUCACUCCCACCCCCCGCCCUCCUCCCCUUCUACCACCCCUAGUUCGUUUCCCAGAGUUAGCAGUCUUUACGUUCUGUCUCCCUUUCUGAUAUUUCCCACACAUUUCUUCUCCCUUCCCUUAUAUUCCCUUUCACUGUUAUUUAUAUUCCCCAAAUGAAUGAGAACAUAUAAUGUUUGUCCUUCUCCGACUGACUUACUUCACUCAGCAUAAUACCCUCCAGUUCCAUCCACGUUGAAGCAGAUGGUGGGUAUUUGUCAUUUCUAAUAGCCGAUAAUAUCCAUUGUAUACGUAAACCACAUCUUCUUUAUCCAUUCAUCUUUCAAAGGACACCGAGGCUCCUUCCACAGUUCGGCUAUUGUGGACUUUGCUGCUAUAAACAUUGGGGCGCAGGUGUCCCAACGUUUCAUUACAUCUGUAUCUUUGGGGUAAAUCACCAACAGUGCAAUUGCUGGAUCGUAGGGCAUGUCUAUUUUUAACUCUUUGAGGAACCUCCACAUAGUUUUCACGGGGGCUGCACCAGUUAACAUUCCCACCAACAGUGCAAGAGGGUUCCCUUUUCUCCGCAUCCUCUCCAACAUUUGUGGCUUCCUGCCUUGUUAAUUUUCCCCAUUCUCACUGGUGUGAUGUGGUAUCUCAUUGUGGUUUUGAUUUGUAUUUCCCUGAUGGCAAGUGAUGCAGAGCAUUUUCUCAUGUGCAUGUUGGCCAUGUCUAUGUCUUCCUCUGUGAGAUUUCUGUUCAUGUCUUUUGCCCAUUUCAUGAUUGGAUUGUUUGUUUCUUUGCUGUUGAGUUUAAGAAGUUCUUUAUAGAUCUUGGAUACUAGCCCUUUAUCUGAUACGUCAUUUGCAAAUAUCUUCUCCCAUUCUGUAAGUUGUCUUUCAGUUUUUUUGACUGUAUCCUUUGCUGUGCAAAAGCUUCUUAUCUUGAUGAAGUCCCAAUAGUUCAUUUUUGCUUUUGUUUCUUUUGCCUUUGUGGAUGUAUCUUGCAAGAAGUUACUGUGGCUGAGUUCAAAAAGGGUGUUGCCUGUGUUCUCCUCUAGGAUUUUGAUGGAAUCUUGUCUCACAUUUAGAUCUUUCAUCCAUUUUGAGUUUAUCUUUGUGUAUGGUGCAAGAGAGUGGUCUAGUUUCAUUCUUCUGCAUGUGGAUGUCCAAUUUUCCCUGCACCAUUUAUUGAAGAGACUGUCUUUCUUCCAGUGGACAGUCUUUCCUCCUUUAUCGCAUAUUAGUUGACCAUAAAGUUGAGGGUCCACUUCUGGAUUCUCUAUUCUGUUCCAUUGAUCUAUGGGUCUGUUUUUGUGCCGGUACCACACUGUCUUGAUAACCACAGCUUUGUAGCACAACGUGAAAUCUGGCAUUGUGAUGCCCCCAGCUAUGGUUUUCUUUUUAAAAUUCCCCUGGCUGUUCGGGGUCUUUUUUGAUUCCACACAAAUCUUAAAAUAAUUUGUUCAAACUCUCUGAAGAAAGUCCAUGGUAUUUUGAUAGGGAUUGCAUUAAACGUGUAAAUUGCCCUGGGUAACAUUGACAUUUUCACAAUAUUAAUUCUGCCAAUCCAUGAGCAUGGAGUAUUUUUCCAUCUCUUUGUGUCUUCCUCAAUUUCUUUCAGAAGUGUUCUAUAGUUUUUUAAGGUAUAGAUCCUUUACCUCUUUGGUUAGGUUUAUUCCUAGGUAACUUAUGCUUUUGGGUGCAAUUGUAAAUGGGAUUGACUCCUUAAUUUCUCUUUCUUCAGUCUCAUUGUUAGUGUAUAGAAAUGCCACUGACUUCUGGGCAUUGAUUUUGUAUCCUGCCACACUGCCAAAUUGCUGUGAGUUUGAGCAAUCUUGGGGUGGAGGCUUUUGGGUUUUCUAGGUACAGUAUCAUGUCAUUGGCGAAGAGAGAGAGUUUGACUUCUUCUUUGCCAAUUUGAAUGCCUUUUAUUUCUUUUUGUUGCCUAAUUGUUGAGGCUAGGACUUCCAGUACUAUGUUGAAUAGCAGUGGUGAGAGUGGACAUCCCUGUGUUGUUCCUGAUCUUAGGGGAAAGGCUCCCAGUUGUUCCCCAUUGAGAAUGAUAUUUGCUUUGGGCUUUUCUAGAUUGCUUUUAAGAUGUUGAGGAAUGUUCCCUCUAUCCCUACACUCUGAAGAGUUUUGAUCAGGAAUGGAUGCUGUAUUUUGUCAAAUGCUUUCUCUGCAUCUAUUGAGAGGAUCAUAUGGUUCUUGGUUUUUCUCUUGCUGAUAUGAUCAAUCACAUUGAUUGUUUUUACAAAUGUUGAACCAGCCUUGCAUCACGGGGAUAAAUCCUACUUGGUCAUGGUGAAUAAUAUUCUUAACGUAUUGUUGUAUCCUAUUGGCUAGUAUCUUGUUGAGAAUUUUUGCAUCCAUGUUCAUCAGGGAUAUUGGUCUAUAAUUCUCCUUUUGGUGGGGUCUUUGUCUGGUUUUGGAAUUAAGGUGAUGCUGGCCACAUAGAACAAGUUUGGAAGUAUUCCAUGUCUUUUUAUCUUUCCAAGCAGCUUUAGUAGAAUAGGUAUGGUUUCUUCUUUAAACGUUUGAUAGAAUUCCCCAGGGAAGCCAUCUGGCCCUGGACUUUUUUGUCUUGGGAGGUUUUUGAUGACUGCUUCAAAUUCCUCCCUGGUUAUUGGCCUGUUCAGGUUUUCUAUUUCUUCCAGUUCCAGUUUUGGUAGUUUGUGGUAUUCCAGAAAUGCAUCCAUUUCUUCUAGGUUGCCUAAUUUAUUGGCAUAUAGCUGUUCACAUAUGUUUUUAAAAUGGUUUGUAUUUCCUUGAUGUUGGUAGUGAUCUCUCCUUUUUCAUUCAUGAUCUUAUUAAUUUGAGUCUUCUCUCUCUUCUUUUUAAUAAGGCUGGCUAAUGGUUUAUCUAUCUUAUUAAUUCUUUCAAAGAACCAACUCCUGGUUUUUUUGAUCUGUUCCACAGUUCUUCUGGUCUCGAUUUUGUUGAGUUCUACUCGAAUUUUAAUUAACUCUCUUCUUCUGCUGGGUGUAGGAUAUAUUUGCUGUUUUUCUCUAGCUCCUUUAGGUGUAAUGUUAACUUUUGUAUUUGAGUUCUUUCCAGUUUUUGUUUUUUUUUUUGUUUGUUUGUUUUUGUUUUUUUUUAUUGGUGUUCAAUUUACUAACAUACAGAAUAACACCCAGUGCCCGUCACCCAUUCACUCCCACCCCCCGCCCUCCCUCCCCUUCUACCACCCUAGUUCGUUUCCCAGAGUUAGCAGUCUUUACGUUCUGUCUCCCUUUCGGAUAUUUCCCACACAUUUCUUCUCCCUUCCCUUAUUUUACCUUUCACUAUUAUUUAUAUUCCCCAAAUGAAUGAGAACAUAUAAUGUUUGUCCUUCUCCGACUGACUUACUUCACUCAGCAUAAUACCCUCCAGUUCCAUCCACGUUGAAGCAAAUGGUGGGUAUUUGUCAUUUCUAAUAGCCGAGUAAUAUUCCAUUGUAUACAUAAACCACAUCUUCUUUAUCCAUUCAUCUUUCGUUGGACACCGAGGCUCCUUCCACAUUUUUGGCUAUCGUGGCCAUUGCUGCUAGAAACAUCGGGGUGCAGGUGUCCCGGCGUUUCAUUGCAUUUGUAUCUUUGGGGUAAACCCCCAACAGUGCAAUUGCUGGGUCGUAGGGCAGGUAUAUUUUUAACUGUUUGAGGAACCCUCCACACAGUUUUCCAGAGUGGCUGCACCAGUUCACAUUCCCACCAACAGUGUAAGAGGGUUCCCUUUUCUCCCGCAUCCUCUCCAACAUUUGUUGUUUCCUGCCUUGUUAAUUUUCCCCCAUUCUCACUGGUGUGAGGUGGUUCUCAUUGUAGUUUUUGAUUUGUAUUUCCCUGAUGGCAAGUGAUGCAGAGCAUUUUCUCAUAUGCAUGUUGGCCAUGUCUAUGUCUUCCUCUGUGAGAUUUCUGUUCAUGUCUUUUGCCCAUUUCAUGAUUGGAUUGUUUGUUUCUUUGGUGUUGAGUUAAUAAGUUCUUUAUAGAUCUUGGAAACUAGCCCUUUAUCUGAUACGUCAUUUGCAAAUAUCUUCUCCCAUUCUGUAGGUUGUCUUUGAGUUUUGUUGACUGUAUCCUUUGCUGUGCAAAAGCUUCUUAUCUUGAUGAAGUCCCAAUAGUUCAUUUUUGCUUUUGUUUUUUUUGCCUUCGUGGAUGUAUCUUGCAAGAAGUUACUAGGGGCCGAGUUAAAAAAGGGUGUUGCCUGUGUUCUUCUCUAGGAUUUGAUGGAAUUUUUGUCUCACAUUUAGAUCUUUCAUCCAUUUUGAGUUUAUCUUUUUUUGUGGUGCAAGAGAGUGGUCUAGUUUCAUUCUUCUGCAUGUGGAUGUCCAAUUUUCCCCAGCACCAUUUAUGAAGAGACUGUCUUUCUUCCAAUGGAUAGUCUUUCCUCCUUUAUCGAAUAUUAGUUGCCCUAAAGUUCAGGGUCCACUUCUGGAUUCUCUAUUCUGUUCCACUGAUCUAUGUGUCUGUUUUUGUGCCAGUACCAAAACGCCCUUGAUGACCACAGCUUUGUAGUACAACCUGAAAUCUGGCAUUGUGAUGCCCCCGAUAUGGUUUUCUUUUUUUAAAAUUCCCUUGGCUAUUCGGGGUCUUUUCUGAUUCCACACAAAUCUUAAAAUAAUUUGUUCUAACUCUCGGAAGAAAAGUCCAGGGUUUUUUGAUAGGGAUUGCAUUAAACGUGUAUAUUGCCCUGGGUAACAUUGACAUUUUCACAAUAUAAUUCUGCCAAUCCAUGAGCAUGGAAUAUUUUUCAUCUCUUUGUGUCUUCCUCAAUUUCUUUCAAAGUGUUCUAUAGUUUUGAGGGUAUAGAUCCUUUACAUCUUUGGUGAGGUUUUAUUCCUAGGUAUCUUUGUUUUUGGGUGCAAUUUAAAUGGGAUUGACUCCUUAAUUUCUUUUUCUUCAGUCUCAUUGUUAGUGUAUAGAAAUGCCACUGACUUCUGGGCAUUGAUUUUGUAUCCUGCCACGCAAACCGAAUUGCUGUAUGAGUUCUAGCAAUCUUGGGGGUGGAGAUUUUUGGGUUUUCUAUGUAGAGUAUCAUGUCAUCGGGGAAGAGGGAGAGUUUACUUCUUCUUUGCCCAAUUUUAAUGCCUUUAAUGUCUUUUUGUUGUCUGAUUGCUGAGGCUAGGACUUCCAGUACUAUGUUGAAUAGCAGUGGUGAGAGUGGACAUCCCUGUUUUUGUUUUCCCGAUCUUAGGGGGAAAGGCUCCCAGUGCUUCCCCAUUGAGAAUGAUAUUUUCUGUGGGCUUUUCAUAGAUGGCUUUUAAGAUGUCGAGGAAUGUUCCCUCUAUCCCUACACUCUGAAGAGUUUUGAUCAGGAAUGGAUGCUGUUUUUGUCAAAUGGUUUCUCUGCAUCCAAUGAGAGGAUCAUAGGUUCUUGGUUUUUCUCUUGCUGAUAUGAUGAAUCACAUUGAUUGUUUUACGGGUGUUGAACCAGCCUUGUGUCCAGGGAUAAAUCCUACUUGGUCAUGGUGAAUAAUUUUCUUAAUGUACUGUUGGAUCCUAUUGGCCAGUAUCUUGUUGAGAAUUUUUGCAUCCCUGUUCAUCAGGGAUAUUGGUCUGUUAAUUCUCCUUUUUGGGGGGGGUCUUUGUCUGGCUUUGGAAUUAAGGUGAUGCUGGCUUCAUAGAACGAAUUUGGAAGUACUCCAUCUCUUUCUAUCUUUCCAAAAAAGCUUUAGGAGAAUAGGUAUGAUUUCUUUUUUAAACGUUUGAUAAAAUUCUCCUGGGAAGCCAUCUUGCCCUGGACUCUUGUGUCUUGGGAGGUUUUUGAUGACUGCUUCAAUUUCCUCCCUGGUUAUUGGCCUGUUCAGGUUUUCUAUUUCUUCCUGUUCCAGUUUUGGUAGUUUGUGGCUUUCCAGGAAUGCGUCCAUUUCUUCUAGAUUGCCUAAUUUAUUUGGGGUAUAGCUGUUCAUAAUAUGUUUUUAAAAUCGUUUGUAUUUCCUUGGUGUUGGUAGUGAUCUCUCCUUUCUCAUUCAUGAUUUUAUUAAUUUGAGUCUUCUCUCUCUUCUUUUUAAUAAGGCUGGCUAAUGGUUUAUCUAUCUUAUUAAUUCUUUCAAAGAACCAACUCCUGGUUCUGUUGAUCUGUUCCACAGUUCUUCUGGUUUUCGAUUUCGUUGAGUUCUGCUCGAAUCUUUAUUAGCUCCCUUCUUCUCUUGGGUGUAGGAUCUAUUUGCUGUUUUUUUCUCUAGCUCCUUUUUGUGUAAGGUUAGCUUUUGUAUUUGAGUUCUUUCCACUUUUUGAAUGGAUGCUUGUAUUGCGAUGUAUUUCCCCCUUAGGACUGCUUUUGCUGCAUCCCAAAGAUUUUGAACGGUUGUAUCUUCAUUCUCAUUAGUUUCCAUGAAUCUUUUUAAUUCUUCCUUAAUUUCCUGGUUGACCCUUUUAUCUUUUAGCAGGAUGGUCCUUAACCUCCAUGUGUUUGAGGUCCUUCCAAACUUCUUGUUGUGAUUUAGUUCUAAUUUCAAGGCAUUAUGGUCCGAGAAUAUGCAGGGGACAAUCCCAAUCUUUUGGUAUCGGUUCAGACCCGAUUUGUGACCCAAUAUGUGGUCUAUUCUGGAGAAAGUUCCAUGUGCGCUUGAGAAGAAUGUGUAUUCAGUUGAGUUUGGAUGUAAAGUUCUGUAGAUAUCUGUGAAAUCCAUCUGGUCCAGUGUAUCAUUUAAAGCUCUCGUUUCUUUGGAGAUGUUUUGCUUAGAAGACCUAUCGAGUAUAGAAAGAGCUAGAUUGAAGUCACCAAGUAUAAGUGUUUUAUUAUCUAAGUAUUUCUUCACUUUGGUUAAUAAUUGAUUUAUAUAUUUGGCAGCUCCCACAUUCGGAGCAUAUAUAUUGAGGAUUGUUAAGUCCUCUUGUUGAAUAGAUCCUUUAAGUAUGAUAUAGUGUCCCUCUUCAUCUCUCACUACAGUCUUUGGGGUAAAUUUUAGUUUAUCUGAUAUAAGGAUGGCUACCCCUGCUUUCUUUUGAGGACCAUUCGAAUGGUAAAUGGUUCUCCAACCUUUUAUUUUCAGGCUGUAGGUGUCCUUCUGUCUAAAAUGAGUCUCUUGUAGACAGCAAAUAGAUGGGUCCUGCUUUUUUAUCCAGUCUGAAACCCUGCGCCUUUUGAUGGGGUCAUUAAGCCCGUUCACAUUCAGAGUUACUAUUGAGAGAUAUGAGUUUAGUGUCAUCAUGAUAUCUAUUCAGUCUUUGUUUUUGUGGACUGUUCCACUGAACUUCUUCUUAAAGGGGAAUUUUAAGAGGCCCCCUUAAAAUUUCUUGCAGAGCUGGUUUGGAGGUCACAUAUUCUUUUAGUUGCUGCCUGUCUUGGAAGCUCUUUAUCUCUCCUUCCAUUUUGAAUGAGAGCCUUGCUGGAUAAAGUAUUCUUGGUUGCAUGUUCUUCUCAUUUAGGACCCUGAAUAUAUCCUGCCAGCCCUUUCUGGCCUGCCAGGUCUCUGUGGAGAGGUCUGCUGUUACCCUAAUACUCCUCCCCAUAAAAGUCAGGGAUUUCUUGUCUCUUGCUGCUUUAAGGAUCUUCUCUUUAUCUUUGGAAUUUGCAAGCUUCACAAUGAAAUGUCGAGGUGUUGAACGGUUUUUAUUGAUUUUAGGGGGCGAUCUCUGUAUUUCCUGGAUCUGAAUGCCUGUUUCCCUUCCCAGAUUAGGAAAGUUUUCAGCUAGAAUUUGUUCAAAUACAUAUUCUGGCCCUCUGUCCCUUUCGGCGCCCUCGGGAACCCCAAUUAAACGUAGGUUUUUCUUCCUCAGGCUGUCGUUUAUUUCCCUUAAUCUAUCUUCAUGGUCUUUUAAUUGUUUGUCUCUUUUUUCCUCAGUUUCCCUCUUUGCUAUCAACUUGUCUUCUAGGUCACUCACUCGUUCUUCCACCUCGUUAACCCUCGUCGUUAGGACUUCUAGUUUGGAUUGCAUCUCAUUCAAUUGAUUUUUAAUUUCUGCCUGAUUAGCUCUAAAUUCUGCAGUCAUGAAGUCUCUUGAGUCCUUUAUACUUUUUUCUAGAGCCACCAGUAGGUGUAUAAUAGUGCUUCUGAAUUGGCUUUCUGACACUGAAUUGUAAUCCAGAUUUUGUAACUCUGUGGGAGAGAGGACUGUUUCUGAUUCUUUCUUUUGAGGUGAGGUUUUCCUUCUAGUCAUUUUGCUCAGUGCAGAGUGGCCAAAAGCAAGUUGUAUUGGGAAAAAGAGAAAAAGAGGAGAGAAAGAAGGAAAGAAA
rnacentral:lncRNA from 1 species